GGGCAGAAGUGAAGGAGCUCGGUGCCUCCGAAAGGUCGGUCGCGGCAGUCAAAGAGGUCUCGACUGGAGGGAGAUUGGUAGCAACUUUGGAAGGUCCGACUUCAUCGUCGGAUGCCUCAUCCAGGAAGCCGAGGUCCAGUUCAGGAAACUUUCCGACCACCUUCUCCUGGUAGAGCUUGAAGCCUUUGAUGAAGGCUGUCUGGCCAAACUGGACCUUCAGAUCCCUCAUCUCGGAGGAGGUCUUGAACUCCUCCACUGCUCAGACCCUUGCCUCUGAGACUAGGAUUGGGAUCUGCUCCCUCAGCGGAGACCUCGGCCUCUGCCUUCUUUCUUUCUUCCUCCAGGGCGGCCCUCAGAUCUGUCGAGGUUUGUUCCUCUCUCUGCAGCACCUCUUGGAGACUCGCGACCUCGACGACCUUCUCCUUGAGGCGAGUGACCUCAGCCUGGCGG
rnacentral:lncRNA from 1 species